rnacentral:rRNA from 1 species
UACGAAGGGGGCUAGCGUUGCUCGGAAUCACUGGGCGUAAAGGGCGCGUAGGCGGAUCUUUAAGUCGGGGGUGAAAGCCUGAGGCUCAACCUCAGAAUUGCCUUCGAUACUGGAGAUCUUGAGACCGGAAGAGGUAAGUGGAACUGCGAGUGUAGAGGUGAAAUUCGUAGAUAUUCGCAAGAACACCAGUGGCGAAGGCGGCUUACUGGACCGGUUCUGACGCUGAGGCGCGAAAGCGUGGGGAGCAAACAGG